AGGUUCUGUAAUACAGAAUGAAGGCCAACCUAUGUGUGGCUUCUCUCUCUCUCCCUCUUUUCAAUUUCCUUCUCUCUCUUUUGUAUUGAAUCUUGAUUGUGAAUGUUAACAUGGUAUCAGAGCAGGCUCAAUCUCCUUCAUUGAGUUGCAGCCACCGUCGCGAGUAGUUUCUGCGUGCGUCAUUGGGCCACUGCCGCCGUCACAGCCACUCAGUCGUCUCCUUCAACCUUCACCCUUGGCGUCCACGCACAGCUGAAGCAGCCCCGGUGUCGCUUCUGAAAUUAGAUACCGUCAUCCUCCCGGUGGACUCCGGCAAGACCAAGAACUAUUCUUUACCAUCACGAACCACAAGCUCACGAUCAUCAGCGCCGAUGCCUCCUAUACCAAGCCCUUCACCACCUCCGUCAUUAUGCUCGGCACUGGCCAGACCACCGACGUUCUAAUUGUAAAGGGUAUCGGUAUAAUCAGAGGACUACGCCGGUUCAAAUCACCGAGUCGUAUGAAUCGGGUAGAGAGAUCUGAAAUUGGGUUUUUUUUUUUGGCAUUUCUUCUCUGGCAUGUGUUGGAUCAGCAUGCAUAAGCCCACCAUGAUCCCCACCCGCUUCUGCAAGUCUCCGCUGUAGAUUUUGUUGCUGAAAGGAACGAGAUCGUCGAGGGAAUCGACGUAUUUCUGGCUUAAUCGGAGAUAAGUAGGACUUCCACGGUCGCGCUCAUUGAUCUCGUAGACGUGGAGCUCCUGAACUUUAGUGGGUUUCCGAGAAUCGGAAGUCCGUGAAGCCUUUGUGGCCUUCGAUCACCGUCAUCGCCUUCACAACUUCGUGUUGCUUGAAAUCAAUAAGUGUUUGCUGUUUGAAAUCAAUUUCUUCACCGAUCGUUGAUGGAAUCAGAAAUCUGAAGUUACCACGAGGAUCAUGGAAGGAGACUCUACAAGUUCUACGAAUUGGAAUUCCGUUUCGGAGUUUUUGGGUUUUCGGUGUAAAAUCGAGGUUUUGGAACACGGUUCUCUAUUUAGGAGCCUUGGAGUUCAGGAUUUGAUAUUCGGGGAAAAGGUCCUUCGAGUAACUAGAAUUAGCGUCCUGGUGUAGGGAACGUAGUGGCCGGUGUACUGCGUUUAGUGCUGGAUAAGUGCUACGACUGUAAUUUUGGUGGGUUGCCAUUUUGGGAUGUGUUGGGCACCCGUUUGUACAUUUUGAAAGAGCAUUGUGUCUGCUCUUGUAUAGAUUCUGGUAUGGUACUACAUAUGUAUAUAUGAUUUUUCCACUGCGUAUAUGAUUGUGUUUGGAA